CGGAGGCCUAGCACGGAUGGCAUAUCUAUAUGCCUCUUACAAGCUGUAUCCAGAUUCAAAUCCCAACUGAGACAGGAUGUUGUUUAAAAAACCCAUAAUACCCAUAUAGCGUGUGUGGGUGUGUGAAAUAUGGGUGUAAUGUGAAUGUGUUGUUUAAAAAACCCAUAAUACCCAUAUAGCGUGUGUGGAUGUGUGAAAUAUGGGUGUAAUGUGAAUGUGUUGUGUAGGUGUGUGAAGUAUGGGUGUAAUAUGUUUAGAAUUGGAUGCUGNNNNN
rnacentral:lncRNA from 1 species